GAAAGGGGGUAUCCACUGUCUCCACUGAAUCUCUUCUCCCACAGGUAUUUUCUGGGACACUGCACUAUACAACUUUAUUUGAUGGCAGAACAUUCAGAGGCUGUAAGCUUGACACAUGGCAAAAUGCUUCUGCUGUUUCUGAGUCUCGGUUUGGUCACUUCUAACGUCCAGUCAGGAAGACCAGGGGUUAACGUAACGUGUGAAAAUCAAUCGGUUGUAGCAGGACAGAACCACAACCUGACAUGUAGAGUGGAUUACAGUAAUGCAGAUCAGAAUGACACGGGAUGUAAAACUGAACGGUAUUUCUGGAAGCAUAAAUCAAAAACUCCAAUACAAAAUUGGGAUUGUAACAUUACGAUAACAACCAAAAGCUACUUUUGUGAGAUGAAAAAUGUUACCAAAGCUGAUGAGGGAAACUACACUUUUACCAUUAACACAGACUGUGGAAACGGAAAUGACACAUUUAAUGUUUCAUUGAGAAAUGAAAAACAAGGUUUUCUGGGAUCGUCAGGUCACCUAUCGUCAGUAUCAUCACUGUUCUGGGUGUUCUACUGUUUCUCAUCUUAAGACUUAAUAGUUCCUUGAGAAACAAUGACAACACUGACAGUAUUCCUGAAGCUACCAGAGAGGCCCUCAACCAGAAGCCUGCAUAACUUUCAGUCUGGAGGAGCUGUGUGUGUGGCGUGUGUGUGUGGGUGGGUGUGUGUGUUGGUUCUAUUAUCCUUGUGGCG